rnacentral:lncRNA from 1 species
UUGGGCAGCCCAAUAAUUGAUGAGCCUUGCUUGGGAGCUCAUACUAAAAUUUUCACAUGUGAGGAUUAGUUCCACACUGAAAAUUAAAAGUAUGUUGUUGUUAUUUAUAUAUUCUUUCAUUCUUAAUUAAAUUACUUGGGAGAAAAUAAGAAUUAUGUUCUCGACUAAACACACACGCACGGCACGAGCACGAGGCGGGCGGCGACGCGCGCAGGGUCUUAAUCUCUACCUCGUCUUCUUCUGUUUUCUCGUCAUUAAUAUUUUACGAUGAUUUUCACCGAGUUUUCUAAUAUUUCAUUGAAUCUCCUAAAGUUUGUUGGGUUCAUCUUGCGCCAUCUUGAAAACGUGCCGACUCGGUGGAACGUGGAUGUUAUAUCGCUUAAAGUAAUUGCUGUAAAGUCUCGCACAUGGAGGGACAAUUUCGCUUUUAGGACUGUGCUCUGCACACCUUGAUCUGUAGGCCUAAUAUUUUUCUCUACAGUAUUUAUUAUUUAAUUUCUUUUUGAAAUUUUUCUAAAACUGAAAUUAAACUUUUGAAUUAUUUUUUAAAAAAUAUCUUACUAAAAGAUCAGAAAGAUUUUCCUACAGU